rnacentral:rRNA from 1 species
UUUAUGGAGAGUUUGAUCCUGGCUCAGGAUGAACGCUGGCGGCGUGCCUAAUACAUGCAAGUCGAGCGAACGGACGAGAAGCUUGCUUCUCUGAUGUUAGCGGCGGACGGGUGAGUAACACGUGGAUAACCUACCUAUAAGACUGGGAUAACUUCGGGAAACCGGAGCUAAUACCGGAUAAUAUUUUGAACCGCAUGGUUCAAAAGUGAAAGACGGUCUUGCUGUCACUUAUAGAUGGAUCCGCGCUGCAUUAGCUAGUUGGUAAGGUAACGGCUUACCAAGGCAACGAUGCAUAGCCGACCUGAGAGGGUGAUCGGCCACACUGGAACUGAGACACGGUCCAGACUCCUACGGGAGGCAGCAGUAGGGAAUCUUCCGCAAUGGGCGAAAGCCUGACGGAGCAACGCCGCGUGAGUGAUGAAGGUCUUCGGAUCGUAAAACUCUGUUAUUAGGGAAGAACAUAUGUGUAAGUAACUGUGCACAUCUUGACGGUACCUAAUCAGAAAGCCACGGCUAACUACGUGCCAGCAGCCGCGGUAAUACGUAGGUGGCAAGCGUUAUCCGGAAUUAUUGGGCGUAAAGCGCGCGUAGGCGGUUUUUUAAGUCUGAUGUGAAAGCCCACGGCUCAACCGUGGAGGGUCAUUGGAAACUGGAAAACUUGAGUGCAGAAGAGGAAAGUGGAAUUCCAUGUGUAGCGGUGAAAUGCGCAGAGAUAUGGAGGAACACCAGUGGCGAAGGCGACUUUCUGGUCUGUAACUGACGCUGAUGUGCGAAAGCGUGGGGAUCAAACAGGAUUAGAUACCCUGGUAGUCCACGCCGUAAACGAUGAGUGCUAAGUGUUAGGGGGUUUCCGCCCCUUAGUGCUGCAGCUAACGCAUUAAGCACUCCGCCUGGGGAGUACGACCGCAAGGUUGAAACUCAAAGGAAUUGACGGGGACCCGCACAAGCGGUGGAGCAUGUGGUUUAAUUCGAAGCAACGCGAAGAACCUUACCA